GAGAGCUUAACUUAACGGUAAAGUAUGUGACUUUUAAUCAUUGUAAUAUGAGUUCAAAUCUCAUAGCUCUUA
rnacentral:tRNA from 1 species